AGAGUUUGAUCCUGGCUCAGAACGAACGCUGGCGGCAGGCCUAACACAUGCAAGUCGAGCGCCCCCGCAAGGGGGAGCGGCGGACGGGUGAGUAACGCGUGGGAAUUUUCCUCAAGGUACAGAACAACUCAGGGAAACUUGGGCUAAUACCGUAUGAUGUCUAGCGACCAAAGAUUUAUCGCCUUGGGAUAAGCCCGCGUCAGAUUAGGUAGUUGGUGGGGUAACGGCCUACCAAGCCUGCGAUCUGUAGCUGGUCUGAGAGGACGAUCAGCCACACUGGGACUGAGACACGGCCCAGACUCCUACGGGAGGCAGCAGUGGGGAAUCUUGCGCAAUGGGCGAAAGCCUGACGCAGCCAUGCCGCGUGAAUGAUGAAGGUCUUAGGAUUGUAAAGUUCUUUCGCUCGUGACGAUGAUGACGGUAACGAGAGAAGAAGCCCCGGCUAACUUCGUGCCAGCAGCCGCGGUAAUACGAAGGGGGCUAGCGUUGUUCGGAAUUACUGGGCGUAAAGCGCGCGUAGGCGGUUUUGCAAGCCAGAGGUGAAAUGCCUGAGCUCAACUUAGGAAUUGCCUUUGGGACUGCGAGGCUUUGAGGACUGGAGAGGUGAGUGGAAUUCCCAGUGUAGAGGUGAAAUUCGUAGAUAUUGGGAAGAACACCAGUGGCGAAGGCGGCUCACUGGCCAGUUUCUGACGCUGCAGCGCGAAAGCGUGGGGAUCAAGCAGGAUUAGAUACCCUGGUAGUCC
rnacentral:rRNA from 1 species